AUUGAACGCUGGCGGCAGGCUUAACACAUGCAAGUCGAACGAGUGGCGGACGGGGGAGUAAUGCUUGGGAAUCUAGCUUAUGGACGGGGAUAACUACGGGAAACUGUAGCUAAUACCGCGUACCAUAGGAUGAGCCCAAGUGGGAUUAGGUAGUUGGUGAGGUAAAGGCUCACCAAGCCGACGAUCUCGAGCUGGUCUGAGCGGAUGACCGGCCACACGGGGACGGAGACACGGCCCAGAGUCCUACGGGAGGCAGCAGUGGGGAAUAUUGCGCAAUGGGGGCAACCUGACGCAGCCAUGCCGAGUGAAUGAAGAAGGCCUUCGGGUUGUAAAGUUCUGUCGGUAGCGAGGCGUUAACUACAGAAGAAGCACCGGCUAACUCCGUGCCAGCAGCCGCGGUAAUAC
rnacentral:rRNA from 1 species